UACUUAGGACCAUCUGCAAAUAUUCAAUAUUGAGAUGAAGGCCAAAGUGAAAUCUUAUCAGAUGCCUGAGCAGGUUGUGUUUUGGAAGUGGAUCACUCCAAAAUUGUUGGGAUUAGUUACAUAAACCUCGGUAUAUCAUUGGUCCAUAGAAGGUGACAUUGAGCCUGUGAAAAUGUUUGAGCGAACGACAAAUAUGUUGAACAAUCAAAUCAUCAAUUACUGUUAUGAUCCUUCCGAGAAAUGGCUUGUUUUGAUUGGCAUUGCUCCUGGUGCACCUGAGAGGCCACAACUUAUUAAGUGGAACAUGCAAUUAUUUUCCGUAGACCAACAACGUAGUCAAGCUUUAGAAGCACAUGC